CAAAGAAAAAAGGGGGAAAGAAUAGAAAAACUCUAAGGAGGAAAAAUUCAAGAGAAAUUCAUUAGAUUUUCGAAAAACGAAGCGAUCUGAGGUGGUGAGCCCUCUGAUAAGGAUAAGGAUAUCGUACCCGAGGACCAAGAGUAAGAGUACUCCCGUUAGAGUUCAGAGCAGUCUGUAGACAGUCGAUUUUGUUGAGGGUUUGGUUUUGGAUUUGCAACCUUAGAAAUCGUAGGUCUACAGUCCUGUUUAUUUUUGUUAUUUCGGGGCUCACAUGUCAUUGUAAAAUAUUUUUAUAUACCCUGGCAUUGUGUGCUAUUAUGUAUAUGAAUUUAUUUUGUUAUUACGCUACAGUAAUUGUUUA